CGGGAGAGGAGGCGGGCUUAAACCGGAGGCGGGACCCCUUUCACUAUAUAUAGAGUCGCUACGCAAUUUUCAACAGCAGCAAAAAGUGUCUUCAGUCCUCGCCAUUCUGCAAAAUGCUACGAACCGCGGUGUACUCUGUUGCUGUUGGCUUGUGUCGCCCUGACUGUGGCAACGGCUUACCCUACAUGGGAGACUCGGUCUGCGGUGCGUGAGAUCAAGGAUGCCUCGGAGUCCCUGGUGCCCAUCCUGGUCCUCCCCGUGGAUCCCCAGCGCUCCCAGGCUCUCAGAGUCGGACCAAGAUCUCAGAAGAGGAACUCCGAGAUCCUCAACACCCUGCUGGGCUCAGAGGCUCUCGGGGCCAUGAGGAACGCCGGCAGGAGGUAGAGUCUGUCUACGAGAGCCUCCCACGAGCGAGAGUAGUGUCAACAUUGUCCAAGAAGCACGAAGAUCAAGCUAUUCCACAAGAAUUGAUGUCUCAGGGUAAUCCUUAAUCGAAGUAUCCAAUUCGAAAUAAAAUUAUUUAGAGCAUUUUUUUUUCUUCAUGAACUAACGGGUGUAAUUCAAAAAUAGGACGAAUACUUUGUCUUUGGAGACCUGCAUUGGUACUCAGACUUGAAUAUUAUUAUUUAUAUUAAAAUAAGCUGUUUAUUAUGCUUUUGAAGGAACUCAGCUAUCAGUCACAGAUAUCGAUUUAUCAAGUAUUUAAUCGUUUCAUUACACAGAAAAUAUUAUCUGUUUGGCCAAAAACACAAUGAUAAAUCUGAAACUGAAUAAUAAUUAUCCAGGAAACGGAAUGCAAUGACAAAAAUAUCAAAAGAA